GAGUUUGAUCCUGGCUCAGAAUCAACGCUGGCGGCGUGCCUAACACAUGCAAGUCGAGCGAGAAAAGGGGGGCAACUCCCUGAGUAAAGCGGCGCACGGGUGAGUAACACGUGGGUAAUCUGCCCUGGAGUGGGGAAUAACACCGGGAAACCGGUGCUAAUACCGCAUACGAUCACGAGGUCUGUGGAUUUUGUGAUGAAAGGAGCAAUUCGCUCUAGGAGGAGCCCGCGGCUGAUUAGCUAGUUGGUGAGGUAAUGGCUCACCAAGGCGACGAUCAGUAUCCGGUCUGAGAGGACGGUCGGACACACUGGAACUGAGACACGGUCCAGACUCCUACGGGAGGCAGCAGUGGGGAAUUUUUGGCAAUGGGGGCAACCCUGACCAAGCAGCGCCGCGUGGGUGAUGAAGUCUCUUGGGACGUAAAACCCUUUCGACGGGGAAGAAACCGCAAGGUUGACGGUACCCNAGAAGAA
rnacentral:rRNA from 1 species